rnacentral:rRNA from 1 species
GUGGGGAAUAUUGGGCAAUGGGCGAAAGCCUGACCCAGCAACGCCGCGUGAAGGAAGAAGGUUUUCGGAUCGUAAACUUCUAUCCUUGGUGAAGAUAAUGACGGUAGCCAAGAAGGAAGCCCCGGCUAACUACGUGCCAGCAGCCGCGGUAAUACGUAGGGGGCAAGCGUUGUCCGGAAUGAUUGGGCGUAAAGGGCGCGUAGGCGGCCUGGUAAGUCUGGAGUGAAAGUCCUGCUUUUAAGGUGGGAAUUGCUUUGGAUACUGUCGGGCUUGAGUGCAGGAGAGGUAAGUGGAAUUCCCGGUGUAGCGGUGAAAUGCGUAGAGAUCGGGAGGAACACCAGUGGCGAAGGCGACUUACUGGACUGUAACUGACGCUGAGGCGCGAAAGUGUGGGGAGCAAACAGGAUUAGAUACCCCUGUAGUCC